rnacentral:rRNA from 1 species
GAUGAACGCUAGCGAUAGGCUUAACACAUGCAAGUCGAGGGGCAGCAUGGUCUUAGCUUGCUAAGACUGAUGGCGACCGGCGCACGGGUGCGUAACGCGUAUGCAACUUGCCUCACAGAGGGGGAUAACCCGUCGAAAGACGGACUAAUACCGCGUACACUUGGGAUAGGGCAUCCUGACCCAAGGAAAUGAAAUUCGCUGUGAGAUAGGCAUGCGUCCCAUUAGCUAGUUGGUGAGGUAACGGCUCACCAAGGCGACGAUGGGUAGGGGAACUGAGAGGUUGAACCCCCACACUGGUACUGAGACACGGACCAGACUCCUACGGGAGGCAGCAGUGAGGAAUAUUGAUCAAUGGGCGAGAGCCUGAACCAGCCAAGUCGCGUGAAGGAUGACUGUCUUAUGGAUUGUAAACUUCUUUUAUACGGGAAUAACAAGAGUCACGUGUGGCUCCCUGCAUGUACCGUAUGAAUAAGCAUCGGCUAACUCCGUG